AUGUUUUCAGUUAAUACUCUUCAGGGUUUUUCAUUUAGCUCCAUGUUCUUUAUUAACCUGGGUGCCAGUCGUUCUGCUCUCUUUAUUAACCUGGGUGCCAGUCGUUCUGCUGUCUUUAUUAACCUUGGUGUCAGUUGUUCUGCUGUCUUUAUUAACCUGGGUGCCAGUCGUUCUGCUGUCUUUAUUAACCUGGGUGCCAGUCGUUCUGCUGUCUUUAUUAACCUGGGUGCCAGUUGUUCUGCUGUCUUUAUUAACCUGGGUGGCAGUCGUUCUGCUGUCUUUAUUAACCUGGGUGCCAGUUGUUCUGCUGUCUUUAUUAACCUGGGUGCCAGUCGUUCUGCUGUCUUUAUUAACCUUGGUGCCAGUUCUGCUGUCUUUAUUAACCUGGGUGCCAGUUCUGCUGUCUUUAUUAACCUGGGUGCCAGUUCUGCUGUCUUUAUUAACCUGGGUGCCAGUUGUUCUGCUGUCUUUAUUAACCUGGGUGGCAGUCGUUCUGCUGUCUUUAUUAACCUGGGUGCCAGUUGUUCUGCUGUCUUUAUUAACCUGGGUGCCAGUCGUUCUGCUGUCUUUAUUAACCUGGGUGCCAGUUGUUCUGCUGUCUUUAUUAACCUGGGUGCCAGUUGUUCUGCUGUCUUUAUUAACCUGGGUGCCAGUUCUGCUCUCUUUAUUAACCUGGGUGCCAGUUGUUCUGCUCUCUUUAUUAACCUGGGUGCCAGUUGUUCUGCUCUCUUUAUUAACCUGGGUGCCAGUCGUUCUGCUGUCUUUAUUAACCUGGGUGCCAGUCGUUCUGCUGUCUUUAUUAACCUGGGUGCCAGUCGUUCUGCUGUCUUUAUUAACCUGGGUGCCAGUCGUUCUGCUGUCUUUAUUAACCUGGGUGCCAGUCGUUCUGCUCUCUUUAUUAACCUGGGUGCCAGUCGUUCUGCUGUCUUUAUUAACCUGGGUGCCAGUCAUUCUGCUGUCUUUAUUAACCUGGGUGCCAGUCGUUCUUCUGUCUUUAUUAACCUGGGUGCCAGUCGUUCUGCUGUCUUUAUUAACCUGGGUGCCAGUUCUGCUCUCUUUAUUAACCUGGGUGCCAGUCGUUCUGCUCUCUUUAUUAACCUGGGUGCCAGUUGUUCUGCUCUCUUUAUUAACCUGGGUGCUAGUCGUUCUGCUGUCUUUAUUAACCUGGGUGCCAGUCGUUCUGCUGUCUUUAUUAACCUGGGUGCCAGUUCUGCUGUCUUUAUUAACCUGGGUGCCAGUCGUUCUGCUGUCUUUAUUAACCUGGGUGCCAGUUCUGCUCUCUUGUCUUUAUUAACCUGGGUGCCAGUUCUGCUGUCUUUAUUAACCUGGGUGCCAGUCGUUCUGCUGUCUUUAUUAACCUGGGUGCCAGUCGUUCUGCUGUCUUUAUUAACCUGGGUGCCAGUCGUUCUGCUGUCUUUAUU
ensembl:lncRNA